GACGGAGGAGGCAAGCGUUGUCCGGAAUCAUUGGGCGUAAAGAGCUCGUAGGCGGUUCGGCAAGUCGGAUGUGAAAUCUCCACGCUCAACGUGGAGGGGCCAUUCGAAACUGCCGUGACUCGAGUCCGGUAGGGGAGUGCGGAAUUCCCGGUGUAGCGGUGAAAUGCGCAGAUAUCGGGAGGAACACCAGUGGCGAAGGCGGCACUCUGGGCCGGAACUGACGCUGAGGAGCGAAAGCGUGGGGAGCGAACAGG
rnacentral:rRNA from 1 species